rnacentral:pre_miRNA from 1 species
AUGUAGGGCAAUCUGUCUUUAAAUACAGGCAAAUUACUCUUAGAGACAAAAAAGGAAUUCUAGAUAGUUUUCCCUUCAAGUCAAGCAUCUUGU